AUUGAACGCUGGCGGCAGGCCUAACACAUGCAAGUCGAGCGGAUGAAGGGAGCUUGCUCCUGGAUUCAGCGGCGGACGGGUGAGUAAUGCCUAGGAAUCUGCCUGGUAGUGGGGGAUAACGUCCGGAAACGGGCGCUAAUACCGCAUACGUCCUGUGGGCGACAGUGGGGGAUCUUCGGACCUCACGCUAUCAGAUGAGCCUAGGUCGGAUUAGCUAGUUGGUGGGGUAAAGGCCUACCAAGGCGACGAUCCGUAACUGGUCUGAGAGGAUGAUCAGUCACACUGGAAGAGAGACACAGUACAGACUCCGACGGGAGGCAGCAGUGGGGAAUAUUGGACGAUGGGGGAAAGCGUGAUCCAGCCAUGCCGCGUGUGUGAAGAAGGUCUUCGGGUUGUAAAGCACUUUAAGUUGGGAGGAAGGGAAGUAAGUUAAUACCUGACUGUUUUGACGGUACCAACAGAAUAAGCACCGGCUAACUUCGUG
rnacentral:rRNA from 1 species